GAUGAACGCUGGCGGCGUGCUUAACACAUGCAAGUCGAGCGAGUGAGUUCUUCGGAACGAUCUAGCGGCGGACGGGUGAGUAACACGUGGGCAACCUGCCUCAUAGAGGGGAAUAGCCUCCCGAAAGGGAGAUUAAUACCGCAUAACAUCGUUGAAGGGCAUCCUUCGAUGAUCAAAGGAGCAAUCCGCUAUGAGAUGGGCCCGCGGCGCAUUAGCUAGUUGGUGAGGUAACGGCUCACCAAGGCGACGAUGCGUAGCCGACCUGAGAGGGUGAACGGCCACAUUGGGACUGAGACACGGCCCAGACUCCUACGGGAGGCAGCAGUGGGGAAUAUUGCACAAUGGGGGAAACCCUGAUGCAGCAACGCCGCGUGAGUGAUGACGGCCUUCGGGUUGUAAAGCUCUGUCUUUGGGGACGAUAAUGACGGUACCCAAGGAGGAAGUCACGGCUAACUACGUGCCAGCCGCCGCCGUAA
rnacentral:rRNA from 1 species